CUGAGUGUUUGUGACUGCUGAGUGUUUGUGACUUUGUGACUGCUUUCUUAAUUUUGGUCUUGAGCUUUCUUUCUUUGAUCAUAUGCCAAUAAGCCAGCUCUUCUCUGUCAUACACCAGAUACCAAACGCACCAUGUGUCACGGGGCAGCGGAAUACGCUCCCAGGGCAAGAAGAGUAUGCCAGCUGUCCAAUCCAGAAAUCUCAGGCAAUUUUGCUCUCUGGUGUAGAUAUCAAGCGACGGGUGGCUUCAUCAGGACCGAAACCUGCAAUCUCCUGAUGAUAGGGCAAACACCUUUCUAAUUGCACCAGUGUUUUUGAUCCUGAUUGCCUAUAUUGCACUGUUUGUCUAAUCAUUUGAACUUUGCCUAUCCUUUGACCGCAGUUCUUACUGCUGAUUUAAUUUGAAUAAAGGUUAAAGGAGAUAUUAAAAUCCA